GACGAACGCUGGCGACGUGCUUAGCACAUGCAAGUCGAACGGAAAGGCCCUGCUUUUGUGGGGUGCUCGAGUGGCGAACGGGUGAGUAACACGUGAGUAACCUGCCCUUGACUUUGGGAUAACUUCAGGAAACUGGGGCUAAUACCGGAUAGGAGCUCCUGCUGCAUGGUGGGGGUUGGAAAGUUUCGGCGGUUGGGGAUGGACUCGCGGCUUAUCAGCUUGUUGGUGGGGUAGUGGCUUACCAAGGCUUUGACGGGUAGCCGGCCUGAGAGGGUGACCGGCCACAUUGGGACUGAGAUACGGCCCAGACUCCUACGGGAGGCAGCAGUGGGGAAUAUUGCACAAUGGGCGGAAGCCUGAUGCAGCAACGCCGCGUGCGGGAUGACGGCCUUCGGGUUGUAAACCGCCUUCGCCUGUGACGAAGCGUGAGUGACGGUAAUGGGUAAAGAAGCACCGGCUAACUACGUG
rnacentral:rRNA from 1 species